rnacentral:tRNA from 1 species
GGCAGCGUACCCGCCUGCGGCGGGAGGGGACUCAUAAGCCCUUGGUCGUGGGUUCGAAUCCCUCCGCUGCCACCA